GGUCUAGUGGCCUAAUGGUAAGGUACUACUUUCCGGCGGUAGUGAUUGCGGGUUCGAGUCCCGUCUAGAUCU